UCGGGAAUUUUGGGCAAUGGGCGAAAGCCUGACCCAGCAACGCCGCGUGAAGGAUGAAGUAUUUCGGUAUGUAAACUUCGAAAGAAUAGGAAGAAUAAAUGACGGUACUAUUUAUAAGGUCCGGCUAACUACGUGCCAGCAGCCGCGGUAAUACGUAGGGACCAAGCGUUGUUCGGAUUUACUGGGCGUAAAGGGCGCGUAGGCGGCAAUUCAAGUCAUCUGUGAAAUCUCCGGGCUUAACUCGGAACGGUCAGAUGAUACUGCUUUGCUAGAGUGCAGAAGGGGCAAUCGGAAUUCUUGGUGUAGCGGUGAAAUGCGUAGAUAUCAAGAGGAACACCUGAGGUGAAGACGGGUUGCUGGGCCGACACUGACGCUGAGGCGCGAAAGCCAGGGGAGCAAACGGGAUUAGAUACCCAUGUAGUCCCUGAG
rnacentral:rRNA from 1 species